UUUUGAAAGGGGAAACGAUUGAAGUCAGUCAUGCCGGUGGGAAUCAACUUAGGGGAAACUCUGGGUGCACUUCUUCGCUUGGCAGGUCAACGUCGAUUUUGAAUGUCAUAAAAUAAUUGGGGGAAGGUAGCUCCUUCGGGAGUGUUAUAGCCCUUGAUAGAUGUGAUGUUUGGGGUCGAGGAUUGCAACGGAUACCCUUCGGGGCUAGCCGCCUGAUCUCUAAUUGGUGUUGGGUUACGGAUAGCAUGCUGACCGUGAUCUAA
rnacentral:rRNA from 1 species